rnacentral:rRNA from 1 species
CCUACGGGUGGCAGCAGUGGGGGAUAUUGCACAAUGGGGGAAACCCUGAUGCAGCGACGCCGCGUGGGUGAAGAAGCGCUUCGGCGCGUAAAGCCCUGUCAGCAGGGAAGAAAAUGACGGUACCUGAAGAAGAAGCCCCUGCUAACUCCGUGCCAGCAGCCGCGGUAAUACGGAGGGGGCAAGCGUUCUCCGGUUGUACUGGGUGGAACGGGGUCGCAGGUGGCGUUGCAAGCCAGGAGUGAAAGCCCUGGGCCCAACCCCGGGACGGCUCGUGGAACUGCGUGACUAGAGUGCAGGAGGGGAAGGCGGAAUUCCUGGUGUAGCGGUGAAAUGCGUAGAUAGCAGGAGGAACACCGGUGGCGAAGGCGGCCAGCUGGACUGCAACUGACGUUGAGGCCCGAAAGCGUGGGGAGCAAACAGGAUUAGAUACCCGGGUAGUC